GACGAACGCUGGCGGCGUGCUUAACACAUGCAAGUCGAACGGAAAGGCCCUGCUUUUGUGGGGUGCUCGAGUGGCGAACGGGUGAGUAACACGUGAGUAACCUGCCCUUGACUUUGGGAUAACUUCAGGAAACUGGGGCUAAUACCGGAUAGGAGCUCCUGCUGCAUGGUGGGGGUUGGAAAGUUUCGGCGGGUGGGGAUGGACUCGCGGCUUAUCAGCUUGUUGGUGGGGUAGUGGCUUACCAAGGCUUUGACGGGUAGCCGGCCUGAGAGGGUGACCGGCCACUUUGGGACUGAGAUACGGCCCAGACUCCUACGGGAGGCAGCAGUGGGGAAUAUUGCACAAUGGGCGGAGGCUGGAUGAAGCAACGCCGCGUGCGGGAUGACGGCCUUCGGUUUGUAACCCGAUUUCGCCUGUGACGAAGCGUGAGUGACGGUAAUGGGUAAAGAAGCACCGGCUAACUACGUG
rnacentral:rRNA from 1 species